rnacentral:rRNA from 1 species
CAGCAGCAGCCACGGUAAAACGAAGGGGGCUAGCGUUGCUCGGAAUGACUGGGCGUAAAGGGCGCGUAGGCGGCGGCCAAAGUCAGGCGUGAAAUUCCUGGGCUCAACCUGGGGGCUGCGUUUGAUACUUGGUUGCUUGAGUGGGGAAGAGGGUCGUGGAAUUCCCAGUGUAGAGGUGAAAUUCGUAGAUAUUGGGAAGAACACCGGUGGCGAAGGCGGCGACCUGGUCCUUUACUGACGCUGAGGCGCUAAAGCGUGGGGAGCAAACAGGAUUAGAUACCCGCGUAGUCCCUGUCUCUUAUAC